GACCAUUAGUCGGGGUGCUGUUUAACAGCUGAGAAAAUACCCGUUGAACCUGAUCCAGUUAGCACUGACGUAGGAAACUAAUUAUGCAACAUU
rfam:Gallibacterium anatis TMN179, complete genome.